rnacentral:rRNA from 1 species
GAUGAACGCUAGCGGCAGGCUUAACACAUGCAAGUCGAGGGGCAGCACGUCUUCGGAUGGUGGCGACCGGCGCACGGGUGCGUAACGCGUAUAGAACCUACCUUUUACAGGGGAAUAGCCCAGAGAAAUUUGGAUUAAUGCCCCAUAGUAUUAUUAGAUGGCAUCAUUUGAUAAUUAAACAUUUAUGGGUAAAAGAUGGCUAUGCGUUCUAUUAGCUAGAUGGUAAGGUAACGGCUUACCAUGGCGACGAUAGAUAGGGGUCCUGAGAGGGAGAUCCCCCANACUGGUACUGAGACACGGACCAGACUCCUACGGGAGGCGGCAGUGAGGAAUAUUGGACAAUGGGCGAGAGCCUGAUCCAGCCAUGCCGCGUGCAGGAAGACGGUCCUAUGGAUUGUAAACUGCUUUUAUACAGGAAGAAACACUCCCUCGUGAGGGAAUUUGACGGUACUGUAUGAAUAAGCACCGGCUAACUCCGUGCCAGCAGCCGACGG